UUAGCAGAAAACCACAGGGAUUGCCCUAGUAACGGCGAGUGAAGCGGCAACAGCUCAAAUUUGAAAUCUGGCUCUUUCAGAGUCCGAGUUGUAAUUUGCAGAGGGCGCUUUGGCGUUGGCAGCGGUCCAAGUUCCUUGGAACAGGACGUCACAGAGGGUGAGAAUCCCGUACGUGGUCGCUGGCCUUCGCCGUGUAAAGCCCCUUCGACGAGUCGAGUUGUUUGGGAAUGCAGCUCUAAAUGGGAGGUAAAUUUCUUCUAAAGCUAAAUACUGGCCAGAGACCGAUAGCGCACAAGUAGAGUGAUCGAAAGAUGAAAAGCACUUUGGAAAGAGAGUCAAAUAGCACGUGAAAUUGUUGAAAGGGAAGCGCUUGCAGCCAGACUUGCCUGUAGUUGCUCAUCCGGGCUUUUGCCCGGUGCACUCUUCUAUAGGCAGGCCAGCAUCAGUUUGGGCGGUUGGAUAAAGGUCUCUGUCAUGUACCUCUCUUCGGGGAGGCCUUAUAGGGGAGACGACAUGCAACCAGCCUGGACUGAGGUCCGCGCAUUUGCUAGGAUGCUGGCGUAAUGGCUGUAAGCGGCCCGUCUUGAAACACGGACCAAGGAGUCUAACAUCUAUGCGAGUGUUUGGGUGUCAAGCCCGAACGCGUAAUGAAAGUGAACGGAGGUGGGAACCCUUACGGGCGCACCAUCGACCGAUCCUGAUGUCUUCGGAAGGAUUUGAGUAAGAGCAUGGCUGUUGGGACCCGAAAGAUGGUGAACUAUGCUUGAAUAGGGUGAAGCCAGAGGAAACUCUGGUGGAGGCUCGCAGCGGUUCUGACGUGCAAAUCGAUCGUCAAAUUUGGGCAUAGGGGCGAAAGACUAAUCGAACUAUCUAGUAGCUGGUUCCUGCCGAAGUUUCCCUCAGGAAACAAA
rnacentral:rRNA from 1 species